rnacentral:lncRNA from 1 species
UUGCCUGCUUGUAAUGUUACCCCUGAGAAAAGUCAUCUGAAAAUGAGAAAUGGACCUGGACAGGAAUAAGCAGAGCAUGCUGAUUUAAAAUUAUGGAAAUUCUUCAGGCAGAAAAUGGGCACAUAUGGUUAUCACAGAAAAGCUGUUUUAAAGCCAGUUUUAAGGUAUUAUUAUGCCGCUCCCUUCAAGAAGUAAUUUGCGUGCUGUUUAUUGGAGCUGUGAAUUUAAUCAUCUCAAUCCCACGCUAUUGCAGGAUGACUAUAAGAAGAUGUAUUGACAUUUCUUUGGACACAUAAUUUUGCCUCCAUUGUGUGUUGUUUUGCCAGAAUACUGAAGGCAGUGUUUGUAUGAUGGCACAUCCAAAUAAAAAGCAGGUCCUCCUUUUGUGACAGUGAUCCAUUUAA